UGUAUAAUAUAAGUAUGUCCCAUACAAUAUUUGGGACAUAAUUAUACUUAAA
rnacentral:pre_miRNA from 1 species